GGUACUUGUACCGACUGGAUGAGCAGCGAACGGGUGAGUAACGCGUGGGGAAUCUGCCUUUGAGCGGGGGACAACAUUUGGAAACGAAUGCUAAUACCGCAUAAAAACUUUAAACACAAGUUUUAAGUUUGAAAGAUGCAAUUGCAUCACUCAAAGAUGAUCCCGCGUUGUAUUAGCUAGUUGGUGAGGUAAAGGCUCACCAAGGCGAUGAUACAUAGCCGACCUGAGAGGGUGAUCGGCCACAUUGGGACUGAGACACGGCCCAAACUCCUACGGGAGGCAGCAGUAGGGAAUCUUCGGCAAUGGACGAAAGUCUGACCGAGCAACGCCGCGUGAGUGAAGAAGGUUUUCGGAUCGUAAAACUCUGUUGGUAGAGAAGAACGUUGGUGAGAGUGGAAAGCUCAUCAAGUGACGGUAACUACCCAGAAAGGGACGGCUAACUACGUGCCAGCAGCCGCGGUAAUACGUAGGUCCCGAGCGUUGUCCGGAUUUAUUGGGCGUAAAGCGAGCGCAGGUGGUUUAUUAAGUCUGGUGUAAAAGGCAGUGGCUCAACCAUUGUAUGCAUUGGAAACUGGUAGACUUGAGUGCAGGAGAGGAGAGUGGAAUUCCAUGUGUGUCGGG
rnacentral:rRNA from 1 species